AGGGCCGAUAACAGAAAACUAAAACCUGGAUUUGACCAUUGCCUCGCAGAGGGCCAAACUCACAGAACAGAAAUUUAAAUGCGACCAUUGCCACGUAGAGGGCCGAUAACAGAAAACUAAAACCUGAAUUAGCAGCUUUGAAAAGUUGAUAAAUGCCAAGUAAAACAUGAGGAUUUUGCGAACAAUUCUCCUCGCUUUCUUUGAGAUGAUGUUAUGUCAUGAUGGUGCAUGAAUGCAUAGACACAUGAGACUUUCAUUU
rnacentral:lncRNA from 1 species